rnacentral:tmRNA from 1 species
GGGGGUGCUCUGGUUUCGACAGGGUAGCUGAAGCGUAAGUUGCAUGCCGAGGGUCUGGUUGGCCUCGUAAAAAAACCGGAAAAACAUAAGUGCAAACGAAAACUACGCACUCGCAGCUUA